rnacentral:rRNA from 1 species
AGUAACGGCGAGUGAAGCGGCAACAGCUCAAAUUUGAAAUCUGGCCCUUGUGGUCCGAGUUGUAAUUUGUAGAGGAUGCUUUUGGUUAGGUGCCUUCCGAGUGCCCUGGAACGGGCCGCCAUAGAGGGUGAGAGCCCCGUCUGGUUGGAUACCGAGCCUCUGUAAAGCUCCUUCGACGAGUCGAGUAGUUUGGGAAUGCUGCUCUAAAUGGGAGGUAUAUGUCUUCUAAAGCUAAAUAUUGGCCAGAGACCGAUAGCGCACAAGUAGAGUGAUCGAAAGAUGAAAAGCACUUUGAAAAGAGGGUUAAAAAGUACGUGAAAUUGUUGAAAGGGAAGCGCUUGUGACCAGACUUGGGCCCGGUCAAUCAUCCAGGGUUCUCCCUGGUGCACUUGGCCGGCCCAGGCCAGCAUCAGUUCGUCGCGGGGGAUAAAGACGUUGGGAAUGUGGCUCCCCCGGGAGUGUUAUAGCCCUUCGUGUAAUACCCUGCUUUGGACUGAGGUUCGCGCAUCUUGCAAGGAUGCUGGCGUAAUGGUCAUCAGCGACCCGUCUUGAAACACGGACCAAGGAGUCGUCUUCGUAUGCGAGUGUUCGGGUAUCAAACCCCUACGCGUAAUGAAAGUGAACGCAGGUGAGAGCUUCGGCGCAUCAUCGACCGAUCCUGAUGUUCUCGGAUGGAUUUGAGUAAGAGCAUACGGGGCCGGACCCGAAAGAAGGUGAACUAUGCCUGUAUAGGGUGAAGCCAGAGGAAACUCUGGUGGAGGCUCGCAGCGGUUCUGACGUGCAAAUCGAUCG